GCAUUAAUGGGUAGUGGUAACUUGGGUCGUUGCCACAAACAUUGUAAUUCUGGCUUUUCGACCCGCCGGGGGUUCGAUUCCCUUUUGAUGCA